UACGGAGGGUGCAAGCGUUAUCCGGAUUCACUGGGUUUAAAGGGUGUGUAGGCGGACUUUUAAGUCAGUGGUGAAAUCUCAAGGCUCAACCUUGAAACUGCCAUUGAUACUAUUAGUCUUGAAUCUUGUUGAGGUGGGCGAAAUAUGUCAUGUAGCGGUGAAAUGCUUAGAUAUGACAUAGAACACCAAUUGCGAAGGCAGCUCGCUAAACAAGUAUUGACGCUGAGGCGCGAAAGCGUGGGGAUCAAACAGG
rnacentral:rRNA from 1 species